GACGAACGCUGGCGGCGUGCUUAACACAUGCAAGUCGAACGGAAAGGCCCUGCUUGCAGGGUACUCGAGUGGCGAACGGGUGAGUAACACGUGGGUGAUCUGCCCUGCACUUCGGGAUAAGCCUGGGAAACUGGGUCUAAUACCGGAUAGGAGCCAUUUUUAGUGUGAUGGUUGGAAAGUUUUUUCGGUGUAGGAUGAGCUCGCGGCCUAUCAGCUUGUUGGUGGGGUAAUGGCCUACCAAGGCGGCGACGGGUAGCCGGCCUGAGAGGGUGGACGGCCACAUUGGGACUGAGAUACGGCCCCGACUCCUACGGGAGGCAGCAGUGGGGAAUCUUGCACAAUGGGCGCAAGCCUGAUGCAGCGACGCCGCGUGGGGGAUGACGGCCUUCGGGUUGUAAACUCCUUUCGCUAGGGACGAAGCUUUUUGUGACGGUACCUAGAGAAGAAGCACCGGCUAACUACGUG
rnacentral:rRNA from 1 species